UCGGGAAUUUUGGGCAAUGGGCGAAAGCCUGACCCAGCAACGCCGCGUGAGGGAUGAAGGCCCUCGGGUCGUAAACCUCUGUCGGGAGGGAAGAACGUUCACCGGGUGAACAAUCCGGUGGGCUGACGGUACCUCCAAAGGAAGCACCGGCUAACUCCGUGCCAGCAGCCGCGGUAAUACGGAGGGUGCGAGCGUUGUUCGGAAUCAUUGGGCGUAAAGCGCGUGUAGGCGGCUUGGUAAGUCGGGUGUGAAAGCCCGGGGCCCAACCCCGGAAUUGCACUCGAUACUGCCUCGCUAGAGUCCCGGAGAGGAGAGCGGAAUUCCCGGUGUAGAGGUGAAAUUCGUAGAUAUCGGGAGGAACACCAGCGGCGAAGGCGGCUCUCUGGACGGUGACUGACGCUGAGACGCGAAAGCGUGGGGAGCAAACAGGAUUAGAUACCCCCGUAGUCC
rnacentral:rRNA from 1 species